rnacentral:rRNA from 1 species
AACGAACGCUGGCGGCGUGCCUAAUACAUGCAAGUCGAACGGGGAAAGCUUUCGGGUGAGUACUAGUGGCGCACGGGUGAGUAACGCGUGGAUAAUCUGCCUUAGAGUGGGGGAUAACUAGUCGAAAGAUUAGCUAAUACCGCAUAAGACCACAGGAACCGAGGUUCUAGAGGUCAAAGGUUUUUCGCUCUAAGAUGAGUCCGCGUAAGAUUAGCUAGUUGGUGAGGUAACGGCUCACCAAGGCAACGAUCUUUAACUGGUCUGAGAGGAUGAUCAGUCACACUGGAACUGAGACACGGUCCAGACUCCUACGGGAGGCAGCAGUAGGGAAUAUUGCACAAUGGAGGAAACUCUGAUGCAGCGACGCCGCGUGAGUGAUGAAGGCCUUCGGGUCGUAAAGCUCUGUCGCAGGGGAAUAACACAAUGAAUGUACCCUGUAAGAAAGGAUCGGCUAACUUCGUGCCAGCAGCCGCGGUAAUAC